CUGACGGCUUUAAGAGAAAAAUAGAACGAAAAAUAUAUCAUUCACAGCACAGACUCAACAAGAAUAACUUGAUGGGCAGAUACAACAUUUGUGCAGUCUAAGAGGCCACCGCGAAAUGCAACUUGUUUAGAUUCUGUUUCAUAUAUUGUGUGUUUGUAUCCAUCUUUGAUGCCGUCUCGAUCCUACAUUCCUGAUGGCUUUAAUGAAUGAAUAAAACAUCUCACGGCAUGUUUGCCCCUGUGUUUUAUUGUGGUUUUCCCUCUUUGGUUACUCAAAAAAAGGCAGUUUGGGGAGCAGCUAUGUUUACCAUAUCUCUCAUGUUUUGAAGUUAUUGGUACACAAGCCCAGGGAUAAACACAAAGCAAUCCCAUUUUUCAUUCAGACAAGAACUCUUUGCUUGGCCUUGGCUUUAUGAAAUCCCCUCAGUGCUCCAUUGCAUUGAACAUCUUCAACGUCUUAGUUUACAGAAAGCAGGCUGAACCUAAUAAUUGACUCUGAUAACAAGCUUGAAGACGUGUUUUCAUUUAUUGGUGUUGAAUAUUGAUGCGGCAGAAAUAUAUGCUGCCCUGACAGGAACCCACAUGCCUGUAAAAAUAUCGAGCAGAGUGCACAAAGACAGCUCCUUCCCAGAUUGAUGCCACUUGGCCUGGAUUGUUGAAUUCACUUUUAACAGGCUUACUCCAGUUUUCUCUAUGCAUUAACAGUUAAUUGUUAAAGUAAGGGUGAAAGUUAUAUAAUUGAAAGGCCAAGUGUGUAAGAAUAGUAGCUGAAAACAACACAAAUUAUCUACAUAAUGUAAAUACGUAGCAGUUUUGACAUUAUGAUUGUGUUGUAGACAUAUCUACUGAAGUCUCAGUGUUAGCCAGCUAGCCCCAGCCCCGUUCCAGAGCUCUUGUGGUAACGUUGUAAACACUGAAACUCGCCCUGGUGCAACCCACUAGCUGUAAGGCUUAAUUGAGCUAUUUCGCCAAGGGCAGCUACAGUUAGCAGCAAUUAGCGGUUACUCCGGUGAUGUGCUGCCCCUGUAUUAAUUAAAUAACAUUUUAUGUAACGAGAAUCCAGCUUAGCUAGCUAGCAAAACCAGUUCUCGUGAAACAAGGAUCUCUUAAGAUUACUUUGGCUAACAAUGGCUAUCAUGGUCUUUGGCAUUUGCAAAUACAGCUAUAGCAAUAUGGCUACUGCUAGCAGUCUGGCUACUGUCAAAAAAAAGACUGUGAGGGCAUGCAGGUUUCAGUCAACAACUUCAAUCAGCCAGACAACCAAUGCGAGGACGGAAGGCAGACGACGCUAAUUGCACAACAAGGAGCGGAAGGAACAAUGAGAUCUACCAGGACAUUGUUUCUGCAAAGGCACAUCACUGUCAAGGUUUACAAAUGUCAUGUUUUGAUGCCUUUACUAUCACAGACAAAAUGUCACUCGCCCUCUUUGUACUCAGCUAAAG